AAAACCUUGACCUUCGGAGACCUGGCAGACAAGGAGUGGAGAAACAUAGAAACAUAGCUUUCGAGUCUUCUCUGGAGUCUGUGAAGAGAGGGAUGUAGUUCUGCAUCUCGCUGCCACUGGAUACUUCAUCUACAUACGCACCCAAGUGAAGACUCGCUACCUGAGUGAUCCCUGCAGGCUGGCAAGGGCCUCCCUUCAGGCAGGCAGAGGUGCUUGCAUAGCACAGGAGGUGGAGGAGUUGCCUCUUGGUGCUGGCAGGACAGGCAGAGCCCUGCCCAGGACAAGGAGUGCUGCUCUUCUGGAAGCCAGUGAUGAGGCAGAGUCCUGCCCAGGGGAGCGGGGGAGAGCAGACCAUUGCUCUAUAAAACCGGCUCCAAGCCCAUGAUGACAGCCCUUUCAGGACCCCCUACCUCAGGGGAAAGAGGAAAUCUUUUUUCUCCUCUUCUGGUAUUCUCCAAAGCUACUGUUUGGCUUUCGAAGGUAGAUGCAAGAAAGCCUGAGAGAUGAAAGUCCAAAUUUACAAAAACAGAUCCAUUAGUGGACUAAUAUUCCAACCAUAAAAAAAUGUCACAAUGCAGCUCUUUAAAUAAAAUAAUGCUUCCCAGUGAGUUUGAAAUAGAAUUUGAUUUCCCUCAUUGUAUAGAUGAAGAAACUGAGAUGAGAAUUGCCUCUCAGAUAUAAGUUUGAUCCACACAUAACCGUUCAGGAGCACAUGUGUUACGGAAAAGACUCUACGCUUGCCUUACAGGAGAUGGUGUCAGUGACAC